AGAGAAUGAAGGCCUGGAUUGGAGUGGCUUGGAGAUGUACCCACGCUGAGUUGGCAUUUUGGGGGAAUCUGCUAAGGACCCCAAAUAUAUAAACCUAAUCCAGAGAACAUUCAGCAAUGUCUACGACAGGAUUUCGUUCCCAGGACAGAACAGACCAACUUGCUGGAGGAGGUUACAGGGCAAGGAGGGCUUCUGAGCACAUCAAUUACAUCAGCCAGUCAGAUAUAUAUAUAUAUAUCUGCAAAAAUAUACAGCAUACAAAUUCCUGGGCCGCACCCUUGAUCCUGCUUCUAACGAGGGACUGUUUGUCGACAAGGCUGCCAGAUAACAGCUGGAGGCUCAGAAAGACUUCAUGGGAGAGGCCGGAAGAACACCAAGACAGCCAGCUCAAGGGCUUGAACCCUCAGUCACCACAGUGAGGGAAGGUACCUCAAAGACAGGCCAAAACCCAUCAUCCUCCAUUAGGGCCCCUUUAGGGGACCUUUUCCUUCAAGGAAAAAAGGGAUCAAUCACUCCAGAGUCUGGGGGUAUGUGUUCCACAGAAGGAAAAACCACCGGAAGACCCUGGGCGAGGGUAUCUGCCAGCAGUUGACGGCCUCCUAAGUGCUGAUUCAGGCUGCACAUAGUAGGUGUUGGAUGGAGUCAUUCAGCAUCUUGCUCUCCUCACUAACAUUACCGAGUGCUGCCAGCUCACCUCUUCCCUCUUUGGCUCAGACACACUGUUACCGGGGCCUUCUGGCAAUACAGAUACAAAAUGUUGCGAACUUGGGACUCCAUAGGUGGUCUAGAGGUGGGGGGGGGGAUCCUCUCUUCUGAAUGGUGCUGGAGUGGUUCCACCCCACCUUGAGGAGCCCCCCAGUCAAAGAGAAGGAAGAAAGCGUCUUAUGGAUGUGUUGGGGACAGCGGUGGUGGUGAAAGGGGAGGUGUCACACCUGCUUCCAGAUGACUAUAGGACUGUCACAAGAGACACCUGGAGGUGAGGCUCUGAGGCACCAGUGCCCAUGGGUGUAUCCACAUCCUAGGGCCGCAGAUGUCAACUCAACCCGAGAAAGAACAUGGGGUAACUUUCCUCUUGCUGCAGCCACUCUGGCAGCAGCCUUUUAUUGAGGACAACGUCAAGCCCUCCACUAAGCACUUUUAUCUCCGCUGCCAUCAGUAAACCUACUGACUGACCAUCUGGGAACUAGAUGCCUGCAAUUAAUUACAGCCCCCACAUCACAGAGGAGAGACCAUUAAGUAACUGGAUGAAUGUGGCUGAGCAAGCAGCUGGGAGCGCCAAGGCCCCGUCCACAUCUGACUCCAAAGUCUGCAUUCUUAGAGGUUAACUCCAUCUUCCCUGGUACCCUUGAGAAGCGAGGGUGAGGUCCCCAUUCUCCAGGGUAGUCGAGAGAUUCUGUAAGCCUGGCUGUAGGAAUCACCUGCGAUACUCCUCAACAUCCCAGUCCCCAAGCCUCUCCUCAGGGAGGGCCCCAGAAUCUGCCUUACCCAGUACUGAGCAAGCCUGAGAAGCCCGAGAGAUGCUGUGCCCGAUGCCCUAUCAGGGUUCCUAACUCCUGGGUGGCCUGAGAUUUUAAGAUUCUAUUUUUAGGCAAGUCCUUCCUGAGACUCUGUGUCAGACUUUCUGGCACCUUCUGACAGGCUCCAAGGCACCUAGGCUGUCUUAGGAGCCGCCCUGAUGCCCCAGAGAUACCUGGAGCCUGGCUGGGAGGAGCCCUGUCAGGGAGGG
rnacentral:lncRNA from 1 species